CUUGGGUCCAGUACGCAGGCGCACCAGUGGCCUUGGCAUAUAUAAGCGAGGUCUGCUGCUGCGCUCAUUCUUUCGCUCCUGACCCGCCUUACUGAGCUUCCAUCUUCGAGUGCUAAGUCGUUCUGCCGUGGAAACCGUGGUUUACAGAUGAUUGGCAUGGUUAAGCGGUACAGGAUGGAUGUCAGAGGACGAGGGGGUCACCUCUGGACCGCCAGGAAAAUCAGAAGACGUCUUAGAUCUUCUCCGUCCUAACUUUUUAAGGUUUGCUUCUGGCCACUACCAGACUUUGAAUAGAGGAGGAAUUCAGGAGUAGGAAGGAAUGGGCCUGAAUCCUGGGUGCCAGUCUAAUCUUCCUUGGACUUGGUUGGUGUCGUCCUGCCACAGGUGCCUCUGGCAUAUGGACAGGCCUUGGAUAGCAACCAUUUCCUGUGGAACCAGUUUCACAAGGCUUCAUCCAAGGACUAUACGUUGCCCAUAUUGAAUUUGAAGGGUUUCUAUCUAGGCUGGGGGUGUGUGAUAAAGUUUGAGAAUCCCUGAAUUCAAAGCCCAGCACUGCUAGGAUGCUGGGAUUUUAUCAAACCCUUCCUAUCUGUAGAAAUAAAGACUUUAUUCCUUGUU